AACGGAAGCUGGCGGCGUGCUUAACACAUGCAAGACGAACGAUGAACCCGGAGCUUGCUCCGGUGGCUUAGUGGCGAACGGGUGAGUAACACGUGAGUAACCUGCCCUUGACUCUGGGAUAACUGCGGGAAACUGUAGCUAAUACCGGAUACGACCCUCGGCGGCAUCGCCAGGGGGUGGAAAGAAUUUCGGUCAAGGAUGGACUCGCGGCCUAUCAGCUAGUUGGUGAGGUAACGGCGCACCAAGGCGACGACGGGUAGCCGGCCGGAGAGGGGGGCCGGCCACACUGGGAGUGAGACACGGCCCGGAUGCCUACGGGAGGCAGCAGUGGGGAAUAUUGCGCAAUGGGCGCAGGCCUGAUGCAGCAACGCCGCGGGAGGGAUGACGGCCUUCGGGUUGUAAACCUCUUUCGGCCGGGAAGAAAUCGCACAGGCUAAUACUCUGUGUGGAUGACGGUACCGGCAUAAGAAGCACCGGCUAAC
rnacentral:rRNA from 1 species